CGGAAUAUGUCAUGUAGCGGUGAGAUGCAUAGAUAUGACAUAGAACACCAAUAGCGAAGGCAGCUUACCAGAUCAUAACUGACACUGAGGGACGAAAGCGUGGGGAGCGAACAGGAUUAGAUACCCUGGUAGUCCACGCCGUAAACGAUGAUCACUAGACAUUGGCGACAUACUGUCGGUGUCAAAGCGAAAGUAUUAAGUGAUCCACCUGGGGAGUACGCCGCCAACGGUGAAACUCAAAGGAAUUGACGGGGUCCCGCACAAGCGUUGGAGCAUGUGGUUUAAUUCGAUGAUACGCGAGGAACCUUACCUGGGCUUAAAUGCAGAACGACCUCCCGAGAAAUCGGGAUUUCUUCGGACGGACUGCAAGUUGCUGCAUGGUUGUCGUCAGCUCGUGCCGUGAGUUGUCGGUUUAAGUCCCAUAACGAGCGCAACCCCUAUCGUUAGUUGCCACCGGAUAAUGCCGGGGACUCUAACGAAACUGCCCGUGCAAGCGGAGAGGAAGGUGGGGAUGACGUCAAAUCAUCACGGCCCUUACGUCCAGGGCUACACACGUGCUACAAUGGCGCAUACAAAGGGCAGCUACCACGCGAGUGGAUGCUAAUCUCUAAAGUGCGUCUCAGUUCGGAUUGAAGUCUGCAACUCGACUUCAUGAAGCUGGAAUCGCUA
rnacentral:rRNA from 1 species